rnacentral:rRNA from 1 species
AAAUUGAAGAGUUUGAUCAUGGCUCAGAUUGAACGCUGGCGGCAGGCCUAACACAUGCAAGUCGAACGGUAACAGAAAGCAGCUUGCUGCUUUGCUGACGAGUGGCGGACGGGUGAGUAAUGUCUGGGAAACUGCCUGAUGGAGGGGGAUAACUACUGGAAACGGUAGCUAAUACCGCAUAACGUCGCAAGACCAAAGAGGGGGACCUUCGGGCCUCUUGCCAUCGGAUGUGCCCAG